rnacentral:rRNA from 1 species
UACGGAGGGUGCAAGCGUUAUCCGGAUUCACUGGGUUUAAAGGGUGCGUAGGUGGGUUGGUAAGUCAGUGGUGAAAUCUCCGUGCUUAACAUGGAAACUGCCAUUGAUACUACUGAUCUUGAAUUUUCAGGAGGUAAGCGGAAUAUGUCAUGUAGCGGUGAAAUGCUUAGAUAUGACAUAGAACACCAAUUGCAAAGGCAGCUUACUACAGGAAUAUUGACACUGAUGCACGAAAGCGUGGGGAUCAAACAGG